AUUGAACGCUGGCGGCAGGCCUAACACAUGCAAGUCGAGCGGUAGCACAGAGAGCUUGCUCUCGGGUGACGAGCGGCGGACGGGUGAGUAAUGUCUGGGAAACUGCCUGAUGGAGGGGGAUAACUACUGGAAACGGUAGCUAAUACCGCAUAACGUCGCAAGACCAAAGUGGGGGACCUUCGGGCCUCAUGCCAUCAGAUGUGCCCAGAUGGGAUUAGCUAGUAGGUGGGGUAAUGGCUCACCUAGGCGACGAUCCCUAGCUGGUCUGAGAGGAUGACCAGCCACACUGGAACUGAGACACGGUCCAGACUCCUACGGGAGGCAGCAGUGGGGAAUAUUGCACAAUGGGCGCAAGCCUGAUGCAGCCAUGCCGCGUGUGUGAAGAAGGCCUUCGGGUUGUAAAGCACUUUCAGCGGGGAGGAAGGCGGUGAGGUUAAUAACCUCAUCGAUUGACGUUACCCGCAGAAGAAGCACCGGCUAACUCCGUGCCAGCAGCCGCGGUAAUACGGAGGGUGCAAGCGUUAAUCGGAAUUACUGGGCGUAAAGCGCACGCAGGCGGUCUGUCAAGUCGGAUGUGAAAUCCCCGGGCUCAACCUGGGAACUGCAUUCGAAACUGGCAGGCUAGAGUCUUGUAGAGGGGGGUAGAAUUCCAGGUGUAGCGGUGAAAUGCGUAGAGAUCUGGAGGAAUACCGGUGGCGAAGGCGGCCCCCUGGACAAAGACUGACGCUCAGGUGCGAAAGCGUGGGGGAGCAAACAGGAUUAGAUACCCUGGUAGUCCACGCCGUAAACGAUGUCGAUUUGGAGGUUGUGCCCUUGAGGCGUGGCUUCCGGAGCUAACGCGUUAAAUCGACCGCCUGGGGAGUACGGCCGCAAGGUUAAAACUCAAAUGAAUUGACGGGGGCCCGCACAAGCGGUGGAGCAUGUGGUUUAAUUCGAUGCAACGCGAAGAACCUUACCUGGUCUUGACAUCCACAGAACUUAGCAGAGAUGCUUUGGUGCCUUCGGGAACUGUGAGACAGGUGCUGCAUGGCUGUCGUCAGCUCGUGUUGUGAAAUGUUGGGUUAAGUCCCGCAACGAGCGCAACCCUUAUCCUUUGUUGCCAGCGGUUAGGCCGGGAACUCAAAGGAGACUGCCAGUGAUAAACUGGAGGAAGGUGGGGAUGACGUCAAGUCAUCAUGGCCCUUACGACCAGGGCUACACACGUGCUACAAUGGCAUAUACAAAGAGAAGCGACCUCGCGAGAGCAAGCGGACCUCAUAAAGUAUGUCGUAGUCCGGAUUGGAGUCUGCAACUCGACUCCAUGAAGUCGGAAUCGCUAGUAAUCGUAGAUCAGAAUGCUACGGUGAAUACGUUCCCGGGCCUUGUACACACCGCCCGUCACACCAUGGGAGUGGGUUGCAAAAGAAGUAGGUAGCUUAACCUUCGGGAGGGCGCUUACCACUUUGUGAUUCAUGACUGGGGUGA
rnacentral:rRNA from 1 species